CUCUCCCAGAGCACUGGAGCAUGGUGCUGCUGAUGCAAAGUGGCUCUCUAUGGAAAUCUGCUGACUCACUCCAACAGGGACUUGGAUCAAUCUAAUGAUGAUGAUGAUGUUUAUCAGUUGAUGAAUGUUGCUGUUUAAAAAGGGAGCUUUGUAUUAGCCCUUCUGUCAUGUUCGGGUCAAUUCUGACCAGCAAUGUUUAUCGAUGAAUCAUUUUGUUUAUAUUAAUAUUAUGUCGUAAUAAUUUUAGAUUCCGAAUAAUAUUGGAAAGUUUAUGUUGUAGAGAAAAAGUUUACAUAUAAUGCCUCCUAAUCUUUAUCUAAAUGCUACAAAACAGAUGUGAACUUUCUACUCAUUCAUCUACCAGCUCACCCAGCGCUACUUAUCAUAUAGUCUUUGUACUGAAUGCAUCAUUUUUUCUCUACAGUAACAAAACAGUGAUCGGGGACGAUGUGGGGUUCAGUGUCCAAUGAUGAGGAUUAUGGAAAAUUCUGGGAUCAAACUGCUGAUCUUGCAGUUCAUCAAAAUCCACUCCACCAGCACAACCAUGUUCACCCAGUGGACUUUUUAAACGCAUUAUUUCUACUUUCUUCUCAGAAUAUUUGUUACAGAGUCAUUUAGUGGAUUAGGUUCAUCUUUAAUUUUAUCUAAAUCAGAUUUAUUUGGUUAUAUUUUAAAAGAAAACAAAGUCUUUGGGGAAAAUGAACAAAUGUCUAAAUAAAAACAUGCUGCAUUGUUUGUUCCAGAGUCAGAGAGCCGUGUCUCUGUACAGUCAGAGGUUUUUGUACGGCGGUUCAAUGAGUUUGUAUCACUGUGGUACACGUUCGGUGGAGGAAGCAGACUGGAUGUUAACUUGGGUCAAGUCCGUCCCACCGUGACGGUGCUGCCCCCCUCUAGUGAGGAGAUAAAGAAGGGCCAUGCCACACUUACAUGUCUGGCCAACAAGGGCUUCCCCUCAGACUGGAGUCUGUCCUGGAAGGUGGACGGCAGCAGCAGCAGCAGCUAUGAGGAGAGCAGGAGCCCCGGGGUGCUGCAGAAGGACGGCCACUACAGCUGGAGCAGCACCCUGAGGGUCCCUGCAGACCAGUGGAGGAACGUGGGCUCUGUGACCUGUGAGGCCACCCAGGGCUCCCAGACUCCACUCUCAGAGACACUGAGGAGAGACCAGUGUUCCCAGUACUGACCUGAUUCACUGGAAAUCUGAUCCUUGUUUUAUUUUGUUACAGCUCUUCUUCUUCAGUAUUAAACACUGUUCCUUUCUUCUAAGUUCUGAUUUACUUUAUUUUCACUUUAAUCUUUUUGUUGUUCAUGUCCUUAAGUUUUUCUUUGUUUUUUGUAACUGGGAUUUUAUAAGUUUAAUAAAAACCUUUUUGAUGAA